UCGGCAACGGAUAUCUCGGCUCUCGCAUCGAUGAAGAACGUAGCGAAAUGCGAUACUUGGUGUGAAUUGCAGAAUCCCGUGAACCAUCGAGUCUUUGAACGCAAGUUGCGCCCGAAGCCAUCAGGUCAGGGCACGUCUGCCUGGGCGUCACGC
rnacentral:rRNA from 1 species